GAAGUACUCCCUCCGUCCCAAAAUUCUUGUCUUAGAUUUGUCUAGAUACGGAUGUAUCUAAUCUAGUUAUGUUUUAGUGUUAGAUACAUCCGUAUCUAGACAAAUCUAAGACAAGAAUUUGGGACGGAGGGAGUACUCC
rfam:Triticum aestivum genome assembly, contig: Triticum_aestivum_CS42_TGACv1_scaffold_526313_6DL